rnacentral:lncRNA from 1 species
UGGGAUUCCUUCAUGAUGUUAUGAUUUUUAUUUUUAGAAAAAUAAUUGAGUAUUUAUCCUGCAGCUGUAAUUAAUACUUCAGUGUCCUGCUUCCUCAGUUUUUUUUUUUUUUGUUUUGUUUUGUUUUUUUGUUAGGCAGAGACUCCUGGGCACCCUACUUUUCUGAAAUUUUUCACAAGAGUAUCAGGAAGGUAGCUAUUAGUGGCAGGCUGGACUGGAAAGGCAGAAAGGAGGUACUUCUGGAUAAACAAAUAAAGACAGAAACUGAAACAGAAAAAGAGGAAGUUGAGUGAAUCAAGGAAUAAACAGAUAAGAAAAGUGCUACGACAGGAAGCAAAUACAAGUAUCAUACUGGAGAUCUGUGAUUGAAUUCUGACAUGAAGUAAGAAAAUCAUGGCCUGUGUUCCUGGCUCUAAAAACUGCUGAAGUAUUUUAUCCUUUUCUUCAACCUCAAGAAUGUCUUGAAA